GACGAACGCUGGCGGCGUGCUUAACACAUGCAAGUCGAACGAAGUGCCGAACGGGUGAGUAAUACGUAAUUAACCUUCCCUCCUUUUUGGGAUAAUCCUUUGAACCGGGUUCUAAUACCUAAUAAAGGGGUCUGGGCUCGCGGCCUAUCAGCUUGUUGGUGGGGUGAUGGCCUAACAAGGCGGUGACGGGUAGCCGGCCUGGGAGGGUGACCGGCCACAUUGGGACUGAGAUACGGCCCAGACUCCUACGGGAGGCAGCAGUGGGGAAGAUUGGACAAUGGGCGAAAGCCUGAUCCAGCCAUGCCGCGUGAGUGAAGAAGGUUUUCGGAUCGUAAAGCUCUGUUGUUAAGGAAGGAGGACUUAACCAGAAAGGGACGGCUAACUACGUGCCAGCAGCCGCGGUAAUUC
rnacentral:rRNA from 1 species